rnacentral:lncRNA from 1 species
UUAUAGAAUUAACUUACUUUUAUCUACUUUUACUUACUUCUAUCUAUUUAUACAUAUAAUUAUUGGCUUACAUACGUAUGUCCAUUGUUGUAAUAUGUGAAGUCUUGCUUGAGAAUAUUCUGGGACCUGGUUGUGGAAGAAAGAAUAGAAAUUGGAAUAAUAAAAUUCUAAUUCUAAUAGAAUACUAACAAUGCUCUAAUGAGUCCAUAAUAAUGGUAAGCAAGCUUAAUUAAAUUCAAAAAAAUUCAAAGAAAUUUCAAACAAACAAUAAGAAUUCUUAAAGAAAUAUUAGAAGGAUCACAAAUAUCACUCAAAUACAUCUCAAUUCAAUCUUAAUUUAAUUCUAGUUAAAAUCCUAUUUAACUUCAUUCAAACUUUAGACCAAAAAUAAUUGAAUCUUUAAUCCUAAUAAAAUUCUAAACCCUAAAUCAAACCCUAAACAAACCUUAAAUCAAACCCCAAUCAAAUCCUAAACCAAAUCCUAACCAAACCCUAAAACAAAUCCUAAAUCCUAAAUCAAACCCUAAAUCCUAAAUCAAAUUCUAACCAAAUCUUAAUCCAAAUCCUAAAUCCUAAACCAAAUCCUAAUCCAAACCCUAAACCCUAAACCAAAUCCUAACUAAGUCCUAAAUCUUAAAUCAAAUCCUAACCAAAUCCUAAACCAAACCCUAAUCCAAACCCUAAAUCCUAAAUUCUAAACCAAAUCCUAACCAAAUCCUAAAUCCUAAAUAAAUCCUAAAAAAAUCCUAAACUAAACACUAAAUUCUAAAUCAAAUCCUAAUCUAAACCGUAAACCCUAAACCAAACCCUAACCAAAUCCUAAACCAAAUCCUAGUAAUUCCUACAAUAGAUUUAAACCUCAAUAACUAAUGAAUAAAUCAUUGAUUUAAACUCAAAUUUUUCAUACUUCUAAAAUCAUAAGUUAAAAACAAGCACAAAAAAAUUGAAAAUGAUCGGAAUUACCAAAUUGACGAUAACCUCAAAAUGUGAUCAGGUAUUGGCCGACCUCCUUCACCAAUCUUGAUGCCAAUCUUCUAGAGCCAGUAUCUCUCUUUUGUGUUGUUCGAUUGAUCUCAAAAUUCUCACACACAAAGAAAAUCAAGUCUUAUAUCCUUUCACAUAAGUUUCACUUCAAUCCAACUAAUAGAUUACAAAAAAUCUUAAAAACCUCCACUAGACCUAAAAUUCUACUUUCUAAGACCUUGACCCAUUUAAACCUCAAUUUUCCUCAAUUCAACUAUUAGAUCGAGCUUAAAUUCACAACACAUAUUAAACACAACUACAAACAUAAACCCACAAAAUUUCACCUAUAGAUCUAAUACAAAACUCUUAAAAUCACCCAAAACAUAAAUCCUAUUUUAUUUCAUAAAAUCCAAG